rnacentral:misc_RNA from 1 species
CAUUACUUAUUGAACUCCAUGGUAUGAUAUCAGACAAAGCUGCUACACAAUUACCUUUGGGAAAUCAAAAUCAGACUAUAGCUAAUCAGAUGCGACGUUCGACUAACUUUCACUCUUUCAAGCACAAGACAUGGAACAAUCCGCAUAAGCUAAAUGAAAAAAUUUAUUCGACUGGUGAAACUUAUCACUCUAAAACCAAAGGAAAUUGCUCCAAGAAUAUAUAUCUCAACAUUUUUAAAAAACGGAGUACAUAUGCAAUACACUUGGCUGACACUGCAAAACAUCAUCAGCUACCAUUAUUGACAGCAAGUGGAGUCUUCGCCACAAGAACAAAGCCUUCAUUUCUGGUAGCCACCACCAAUAGCAUUUUCAUCCUCUUCA